CACGGGCAAAUUUGAACUCCUAAAGGGUAUGUUAGCUGAGCCCCAGCGGAGAAGCAGAUCAAUGUGUCUUCUCGUUCCUGCCCCAGCCCUCAGGACCUCUAACAUGAUAUGGGAAGGGAGAAGAGCUGACUAUGAGGAGCCUGAGAUGAGAACGUGAAGAAGGAGGAAGAGGAAGGUAUCGAUGCAGUAUCAGAGGCUGUGGCCGCUGCAUCUCUGCAUUGUGACAGUGGCAAUAAUGGCAGGAAGCCACCCAGUAGCUCUAGACUGCUAGAGCGGUGGUUCUCAACCUUCCUAACGCUGUGACCCUUUAAUACAGUUCCUCAUGUUGUGGUGACCUCCCCAACCA